rnacentral:rRNA from 1 species
GAUGAACGCUGGCGGCGUGCCUAAUACAUGCAAGUCGAGCGAACGGACGAGAAGCUUGCUUUUCUGAUGUUAGCGGCGGACGGGUGAGUAACAUGUGGAUAACCCACCUAUAAGACUGGGAUAUUUCGGGAAAUCGGAGCUAAUACCGGAUAAUAUUUUGAACCGCAUGGUUCAAAAGUGAAAGACGGUCUUGCUGUGACGUAUAGGUGGAUCCGCGCUGCAUUAGCUAGGUGGUAAGGUAACGGCUUACCAAGGCAGCGAUGCAUAGCCGACCUGAGAGGGUGGUCGGCCACACUAGAACUGAGACACGGUCCAGACUCCUACGGGAGGCAGCAGUAGGGAAUCUUCCGCAGUAGGCGAAAGCCUGACGGAGCAACGCCGCGUGAGUGGUGGAGGUCUUCGGAUCGUAAAACUCUGUUAUUAGGGAAGAACAGAUGUGUAAGUAACUGUGCACAUCUUGACGGUACCUAAUCAGAAAGCCACGGCUAACUACGUG